rnacentral:rRNA from 1 species
UUGCACGCUAGCGGGAUGCUUUACACAUGCAAGUCGAACGGCAGCGCGGACUUCGGUCUGGCGGCGAGUGACGAACGGGUGAGUAAUGUAUCGGAACGUGCCCAGUAGCGGGGGAUAACUACGCGAAAGCGUAGCUAAUACCGCAUACGCCCUACGGGGGAAAGCAGGGGAUCGUAAGACCUUGCACUAUUGGAGCGGCCGAUAUCGGAUUAGCUAGUUGGUGAGGUAACGGCUCACCAAGGCGACGAUCCGUAGCUGGUUUGAGAGGACGACCAGCCACACUGGGGCUGAGACACGGCCCAGACUCCUACGGGAGGCAGCAGUGGGGAAUUUUGGACAAUGGGGGCAACCCUGAUCCAGCCAUCCCGCGUGUGCGAUGAAGGCCUUCGGGUUGUAAAGCACUUUUGGCAGGAAAGAAACGUCGCGGGCUAAUACCCCGUGGAACUGACGGUACCUGCAGAAUAAGCACCGGCUAACUACGUG